UAUUUUUUUUAAAAACAAAUAAUAACAAAAUAAAAUAGCACAUUAUCAGGAAAAUGAGCUAGACUAAGAAUAUUAAAAUAAAAACAAGUAAUGAGAGCUCUCUACAAUGUGCUCACCACCAUCCCAGCAUCUGGCUGAGCCAGUAAAGACUACCUGAAUCGGCCAGGCGCGGUGGCUCAAGCCUGUAAUCCCAGCACUUUGGGAGGCCGAGGCGGGUGGAUCACGAGGUCAAGAGAUCGAGACCAUCCUGGCCAACAUGGUGAAACCCCAUCUCUACU